AUUCUGCAGCUUGCCUUCUGGAAAGGUUGCACUCUUGGUGUCAGCGAGCAGGCCUGGGCGGGCGCUGUGAAGAAACUUGCGGUCAUGAUUAAGUUUGGAGAAGUUCACUGUGAAUCGUGUCGGCAAUUCAUCAAACCCUUACUUCAACCGACGAAGAGAACGCGCCCCGUGUUGAGAGAGACAAAUUUGUUCCACUGGUGCUGCUUGACCCUCAUGUACUACAGCUUACCCUCAUCAGUCUAUACACGCGCAGCGUAAGUUUGGCCGCGCUUAAUUCACACACACACGCACACUUUAUGGGCAUGAAGAUGCCCCCACGGUACAGUGACAACUGCUCCUGUAGCUGAGGCUGACGUUAAGAUCUUUCUUGGGGUGUCAAAUAUCGUGCGCGCCUUCCAGUUUUGAGGACUUCAUUAUUCCGGUAACAUUUUGUCUUCACCAUGCCAUUCCACCACGACUAACUCGAUAGAUGCACACAUACAGCCACAGCUCACCUACAUCUCCUGCACUGCUGCUAAAUCCGUGCCGUCGAGGACGAGCCGCUCUGCCGUUGCAUCGGCCCAUGUGUCUAACGUGGUCUUUUUAUCCUCCUGCGUCCCUCCUUCGCAUACGUGCUGCGUGGUCGGAGCCACACGGACUUGGGUGAACUGAGUGCCUUGGUCCAAGCGGAUCGCGCCCAGAAUCUUGCUCCAAGGCGGAAGCGGUGGCGUUUCUCAUGGGGGCGAUAGGGGGUCACCUAGGCGCAUGCCAUGUGUUUUGCUUUUGUGUGUUUUUCCCAUACAGCAGCCUUCAACGCGCACAGUGCAUGCCAGGGUGAGAGGUGGAACAGCAAAGGCAAAUUUUUGAACCAUGUACGUGAGUCCUGCAGCGAAAGGCGUGGAUCCCAUUUAGCGCAAAACAGAUUUCGUUCAUGUCUCGGUGACUUCUCCCGUUGGAGAGUUGGAGGCUUUCCCACGCGCCUCCGAAAUGGCAUGGGUCCGCCGGUCCAGUUGACGCCCAUUUACCUCUGUAUGUGUGUGUGUGUGUGUGUGUGUGUGUGUGUGUGUGUGUGUGUCCUCAGGUCAGUCAAACCAUUUGAUGCAAGGACAUUGUGCUUGUUUUGGGCAUUUCUCAAUGCUAGAAUAGAUGAAAGCAGUGGAUUCGAGCUGCUUGUCUACCUCUUCUAUCACUUUUUACCCGCAACACGAACUGGAGCUUAAGCACUCAAGCGAAGCAAUCUUGUUCCUGUUGCAGCUUUUCCUGUCCCCAUGUCUUUCUCAGGUCCCGAAUCGGCACAGAACGAAAGUCUGCAGCUGUCCAUUUGAUCGUUUGGGCAACAAUUGUGUACUGAAAAGUCACAUCUGAGUCCGGCCAAUACACACUUGGCUCCAUGUGUAAUCCUUCACUCACCGACGGAGAGCAAAUGCAAUAGCAAAUGGGAUGUAGCUCUGUUCUCUCAUUUUGGUUUUGAUGUCCUUGUGACCUUGCUUACUACUCUUCUUCCCUGUGGGCAUCAUAUCUAUUUUCUAUUUUUCGAACCGACAGAAACAACUUCCAAUACCCUAUUCCUGCUGUGCUUCAAACUGCGUCUUCCGCUGUCAUAAUAAGGCCAU
rnacentral:misc_RNA from 1 species